UGAGGAACAUGACCUUCGGCGGGGGAUAGCCGGCCCAACGGCCGGGUAAUACCGCGUACGACCACAUGGGGACAUCCCCGAGUGGUGAAAGCAGCAAUGCGCCGAUGGAGUGCCUCGCGGCCUAUCAGCUAGUUGGUGAGGUAACGGCUCACCAAGGCGACGACGGGUAGCUGGUCUGAGAGGAUGGCCAGCCACAUUGGGACUGAGACACGGCCCAGACUCCCGUAGGGACGG
rnacentral:rRNA from 1 species